UUAGUCCAUACCCCAUGUCUCUUAAGGAGGUAAAAACAACCUAAAUCUUUCUUCUCUUCUUCGGACCUGAAUGACACACCCCUCAUAUCAUCUUCUUCACACCAAAACCCUAGCACCUAACCUAACCCUAGAACACCUAAACCCUAAAGAUCUGGAGUCGCCGCCGCCGCUCCCUCCCCUCAUCUCAAUCUUCAACAGCCUAAGACCACACCCAGUCAUCCCAUCUUCUUCUUCAACCAAGGGAGAGGAACCCUAGAACCCUAAGACAUACUCCACUGCCACUCCUCACCAGCCACGGCACCGCGCCACCAAGCUCGCCGAAUGUCCAGCAACAAUCUUCAACAACCCGCCGUCACCCCUUCUCAAAAAAUACCAAAAAUCGGCCGCCUAUAUCAUCCCCUUCACUUGCCAGAACUAGCCACCAGUAGCCCCCUCUUACUGCUGCCGACCAACCAGUCGUCGCUACUCCCUCAUCACCUUAAUUGACCGGAAUUCGGCGACCACACACACGCAUACAUCAGUUAAAAAUAGAUGCAGGGAACGAGCAAACAUAAAAAAAAUCAAAGAAAAAUAGGGUUUUGGUUUUAAGAUUCUCACUUUUCAAUUUCUGAUUUUCAGUUGAGUCUAGCUUCAUUUUUUAUGUCAAAUGCGAAAUACAUAAUGAAAACUUAGGUUGUUCUUUUAGUAUUGGUUUCCGAAAUGGAGUUGAGUUAAAACAGGUGUUCGAUUGUUGGAGUUGCCAUCCGAGGUAUGGUCUGUUGGUUUGGUUCAAGUUGGAUUUGCUAUUUUGGACUCCAUUCGUAGUUGCGGUAUUCUGUCCAUGAACCGCCAAAACUAUAUUAAUUUCAAGAUCAUUUUUCAGGUAUGAAUCCAUUUAUCAGAGCUUGAGCAUGACAGAUACCUCAUGACCAUCGUAUUUAAGAGCUAUUUGAGGAGAUUUUUUUAUAUUUUUGAGUAUGUUUUGUCUUUUAUUUUACAUGUCUUGUCUAGUUGUAUUGAUUAUUUUAGGUGGUGUCACAGUUUAUCGUAAUCUAGUUAAGUUUGUUGAGUCUUUUGUUAUCGUACUUCCUAUGAUGUACUUGAAAAGAAAAAAAAUUAUAAAUGAAAAAUUCAAAAAGAUUUUUGUUUUUA